UCCGAAUUGGUGUAGUGGCUAACAUUUGACGCUCUCAACAUCCCCUCAAUUUGGGAAAAGGACCGUCAAGCCCGGGGUUCGAUUCCCCGAUUCGGAG